GACGUAGGGCGCGAGCGUUGUCCGGAUUUCUUGGGCGUAAAGAGCUCGUAGGCGGCUUGUCGCGUCGAGUGUUAAAUCCUGCGGCUCAACUGCAGGCUUGCAUUCGAUACGGGCAGGCUGGAGUUCGGUAGGGGAGACUGGAAUUCCUGGUGUAGCGGUGAAAUGCGUAGAUAUUGGGAGGAGCACCAGUGGCGAAGGCGGCUCACUGGACCGGUACUGACGCUGAGGCGCGAAAGCGUGGGGAGCAAACAGG
rnacentral:rRNA from 1 species